AUUGAACGCUGGCGGCAUGCUUUACACAUGCAAGUCGAACGGUAACAGGCCGCAAGGUGCUGACGAGUGGCGAACGGGUGAGUAAUGCAUCGGAACGUGCCCAGUCGUGGGGGAUAACGAAGCGAAAGCUGUGCUAAUACCGCAUACGAUCUCUGGAUGAAAGCGGGGGACCGUAAGGCCUCGCGCGAUUGGAGCGGCCGAUGUCAGAUGAGGUAGUUGGUGGGGUAAAGGCACACCAAGCCAGCGAUCUGUAGCUGGUCUGAGAGGACGACCAGCCACACUGGGACUGAGACACGGCCCAGACUCCUACGGAAGGAAGCAGUGGGGAAUUUUGGACAAUGGGCGCAAGCCUGAUCCAGCAAUGCCGCGUGCAGGAAGAAGGCCUUCGGGUUGUAAACUGCUUUUGUACGGAACGAAACGGUCUGGGUUAAUACCUCGGGCUAAUGACGGUACCGUAAGAAUAAGCACCGGCUAACUACGUGCCAGCCGCCGCAGUAAUAC
rnacentral:rRNA from 1 species